CAAGUCGAACGAAGACGUGCCUUGUAGCAAUACCGGGCACGGACUGAGUGGCGAAAGGGGCAGUAAUGCGUGGGUAACCUACCUUGGGGAUGGGCAUAGCCGGACUAACGUCCGGGUAAUUCCCAGCGAUGUGACGAGGGGACAUCCUCUUGUCACCAAAUGAGUUUCGCCCUGAGAGGGGCUCACGUCGUAUUAGCUUGUUGGCGGGGUAACGGCCCACCAAGGCAAAGAUGCGUAGCGGGUGUGAGAGCACGACCCGCGCCACUGGCACUGAGACACUGGCCAGACACCUACGGGUGGCUGCAGUCGAGGAUCUUUGGCAAUGGGCGCAAGCCUGACCAAGCGACGCCGCGUGUGCGAUGAAGGCCUUCGGGUUGUAAAGCACUGUCGAGGGGGAUAAAAGCCGCAAGGCUUGAUAGAUCCCUGGAGGAAGCACGGGCUAAGUUCGUGCCAGCAGCCGCGGUAAGACGAACCGUGCGAACGUUGUUCGGAAUCACUGGGCUUAAAGGGCGCGUAGGCGGCUUGCCAAGUCAGGGGUGAAAUCCUGCAGCUCAACUGUAGAAGUGCCUUUGAUACUGGCGAGCUCGAGGGAGGUAGGGGUGCGCGGAACUUCUGGUGGAGCGGUGAAAUGCGUUGAUAUCAGAAGGAACGCCGGUGGCGAAAGCGGCGCACUGGAUCUCUUCUGACGCUGAGGCGCGAAAGCUAGGGGAGCAAACGGGAUUAGAUACCCCGGUAGUCCUAGCCCUAAACGAUGAGCACUAGAUUGCAGACUGAUCAUGGGUUUGCAGUCGAAGCAAAAGUGUUAAGUGCUCC
rnacentral:rRNA from 1 species